rnacentral:piRNA from 1 species
CUCUAGAUCGCUGCACUCUGGGCAUAGGC